GUGAAUCAUCAAAUUUUUGAACGCAAAUUGCACUCUCUUCGGAGAGUAUGCCUGUUUGAGGGUCAGCCUAAAAAAAAUCGACAUAGUUGCUGUUACGCGGUAACAUUCGUCGGAAAUUGGUUCAUCUUAAACCUUUGGUUUAAGCCGGUUUAAAUUUUUUUUUAGAAUUCAAGGAAGGUUUUUAAGUUUUUAUUUUUUUUAACUUUAAGGGUU
rnacentral:misc_RNA from 1 species